rnacentral:rRNA from 1 species
UUCCAGACUCCUACGGGAGGCAGCAGUGGGGAAUAUUGCACAAUGGGGGGAACCCUGAUGCAGCGACGCCGCGUGAGCGAUGAAGUAUUUCGGUAUGUAAAGCUCUAUCAGCAGGGAAGAAAAUGACGGUACCUGACUAAGAAGCCCCGGCUAACUACGUGCCAGCAGCCGCGGUAAUACGUAGGGGGCAAGCGUUAUCCGGAUUUACUGGGUGUAAAGGGAGCGUAGACGGCUGUGCAAGCCAGAUGUGAAAGCCCGGGGCUCAACCCCGGGACUGCAUUUGGAACUGCGUGGCUUGAGUGUCGGAGAGGCAGGCGGAAUUCCUAGUGUAGCGGUGAAAUGCGUAGAUAUUAGGAGGAACAUCAGUGGCGAAGGCGACUAUCUGGCACAUAACUGACGCUGAGGAGCGAAAGCGUGGGUAGCAAACAGGAUUAGAUACCCUCGUA